rnacentral:rRNA from 1 species
AUCCAGAGAACUUAGCAGAGAUGCUUUGGUGCCUUCGGGAACUCUGAGACAGGUGCUGCAUGGCUGUCGUCAGCUCGUGUUGUGAAAUGUUGGGUUAAGUCCCGNAACGAGCGCAACCCUUAUCCUUUGUUGCCAGCGGUUCGGCCGGGAACUCAAAGGAGGCUGCCGGUGAUAAACCGGAGGAAGGUGGGGAUGACGUCAAGUCAUCAUGGCCCUUACGGCCAGGGCUACACACGUGCUACAAUGGCGCAUACAAAGAGAAGCGACCUCGCGAGAGCAAGCGGACCUCAUAAAGUGCGUCGUAGUCCGGAUUGGAGUCUGCAACUCGACUCCAUGAAGUCGGAAUCGCUAGUAAUCGUAGAUCAGAAUGCUACGGUGAAUACGUUCCCGGGCCUUGUACACACCGCCCGUCACACCAUGGGAGUGGGUUGCAAAAGAAGUAGGUAGCUUAACCUUCGGGAGGGCGCUUACCACUUUGUGAUUCAUGACUGGGGUGAAGUCGUAACAAGGUAAGCGUAGUGCU